rnacentral:rRNA from 1 species
GACGAACGCUGGCGGCGUGCUUAACACAUGCAAGUCGAACGAAGUGGCGAACGGGCGAGUAAUUCGCGGGUAACCUGCCCUCCUUUUUGGGAGAAGCCUCGGAAACGGGGACUACUACCGAACACAGGUGGAUGGGCUCGCGGCCUAGCAGCUCGUUGGUGGGGUGAAGGCCUACAAAGGCGAUGAGGGGUAGCCGGCCUGAGAGGGUGACCGGCAACAGUGGGACUGAGAUACGGCCCAGACUCCUACGGGAGGCAGCAGUGGGGGAUAUUGCACAAUGGGCGAAAGCCAGAUGCAGCGACGCCGCGUGGGGGAUGAAGGUUUUCGGGUUGUAAACCUCUUUCGCGAUCGAACGGGUAGGUGAAGAAGAAGCGCCGGCUAACUACGUGCCAGCAGCCGCGGUAAUUC